AAUUCUCUCAAACCCCAAGGGUUUGGAUGUGGACGUUGUUGUAGUAACUCGUCUUUGAAAUUCAUUAGCUGAUCUCUUGGUCUGACGGACGACGGUGUGAUAAGUGAAAUUACUACGCUGUGUGUGUCUAAUGGACUUGUAUAGAUUGCUUCUAAUAAAACUUUUAUUGAA
rnacentral:misc_RNA from 1 species